rnacentral:snoRNA from 18 species
UAAAACUACAAAACUUGACCAGUAUCAUUGGCUGUCUGGGUAUCACUUACAUCCGGACGGUCUCUCUAAGCUGGGAGAUAGAUCCCCGCCAAACUUUUGGCGGAGAGCAAUCUAAGUUCUGUUGCUUGUGAGGCCUCACCUCCAGCAACACUAAUGUUGCUCGCACAUUU